ensembl:lncRNA
GGGGGGUGGACAACAAUUCUGCUCAACUCGGGAAACUGAUCUCUGGUCGACCACAAAAUAAGGUAAGCAAAAACCUGUUAAAUCAAAUUUUGCAUAUUGUCGUAUAGUCAUACCAAAUUACGAUCAGUAGUACCGAGUGUGGGUAAGAAUUUUUGUGUAAAUUUAACGUAAAUAAUUGACUUGAAAUUGACAGUGAAGUGAACAUAUGUGGUAAUUAAGGUAGACCUAAAUUGUGUUAACGCUAGAAUAUUCCGAUAGUCCGGCUUGAGAACGGUCCGGCUGGGUCCGGUAAGGGAUAAAAUGUCAAUAUAGAAUAUUCCGAUAGUCCGGCUUGAGAACGGUCCGGCUGCGUCCGGUAAGGGAUAAAAUAGUCAAUAUAGAGUUGCUACCGAUAGUCCGGCUAGUGACCGGUCCGGCUUGUGUCCGGUAAGGUGAUCUAUAAUAGUAUAAUACAAUUUGACGUAUAACAGAAUCCAAUAUGCUGGCUGUGUCCGGUGAGGUGUCUACAUAACUGUUUACUGUGUUUGAGAAUUUGUAAUCAAACUGUAGUGUUAAUCCGUUUCGAUUGAAUUGCACGAUUUAGAAAUUACAUUGACUGAAUGAAAUGUGUUGAUUCCUGUGGUCAAAAUAAUUAGUUAAAAUGGUUCUGUAAAUUGCAAACGGUGUUCCACGAGACCCUGCGGUGGAUAACUUAAAAUAUUUAGAAAUAAUAUAUCCGUUCAUACAUUGGCUCUGAUAAAAUACAUCGGGACAAGUUAAAACCUAUUAGAAUAAAUAUUCGGCUGCAAUAACAAUUAUAAAAUGGCGACCCCCAAUACUCCCAAGCUAAGAUAGCCAAGGUGUGUGCAGGUACAAAAUUGACAUGGGUGGAGGCCCUGCCCCUGGCAUUGAUGGCCAUGAGGUCCUCACCAGGUGCAGGGACCCACCUUUCACCCCAUGAAAUAAUGACAGGCAGAGUAAUGCCAGGGCCGCCAAGAGAGGGAGGUCAUAUGCCCCCUCUUGAUGUGCACCAGAUAUGCAUGACUGACUAUGUAAAGAAAUUGACAGAACUUUCUGCAGCUCUCUCCAAACAGAUACACAGAGUCCAAGAGGGGGAGCUGACAGGAGAUCCAGAGCAACCAAGGGUAAAGGUCGGAGAUUGGGUAAGGAUCAAGGUCCACAAGAGAAAGUGGCAGGAUCCCAGGUGGACUGGACCGUACGAAGUGAAGGAGGUUACUUCACACUCAGUCCAGGUCAAAGGUAAAUCAGGGGCGCCUUGGCACCACUUGACUCAUUGCACCCCAGCUUCGAUUCCCAACAGAACACUGACAGAGGUCAGGGUCGACUUGAGCGACUUAAAUUCGGCUCCAAUACAACCCGAUUAGCAGGUGACGAUGUGGACCAGACUCCCAUCGGCAUCGGCUAAUGGGCCUCCUAGGGAUAGGGGUUAUCCCUGGACUAGACUGGGCAUAUCUGGCCCCGGUUUAUUUGUGUGUUUGUAAAUGCAUAUGUCUACUGAAUGAUAAAUUGAACGAAUGUUUAGACAAUGUUUUAGAUGUGUUGACUAUAUUGAGUGAAUGUUCAAACGAUGUUUUAGAUGUGCUCUGGCGUAAAUGAAGAUUUGUGAGACUCAAAUCGUGUGCAUGAAAUACGCUUGAUAUUCAGUCGGGGACUAAUAUCGGUAUGAAUGAGGUCGGGGACCAAGCGAGUGUGGUACAUUAGGUAUUUCAGUUGGAGCUGGUACCGGUGAGAAUGUUGAAAAAGUCGCAGGCUUGCUGAUGAGAGUUAUAUCAUAGAAUAUUGAGGGGGGUGCAUGACUGUUGGAAAAAGUGUUAAACUCUAUUAACGUAAAAUUAUUUUUGCGGAUUUAUAUUAUGAGGUUUGAACUAUACUAAUAUUGUAGAAUUACAUAAUCAACAUCUGAACAUACUUACGUUAAACAUUAAUUGAGCCACUGAGUAAUAGAUAAGUGGUACACUAGGUACGGGGCGACGGGUGUGGUCGAUGUAAGACGGGAGUGGUGUUCUAACCAAGUGCUGAGAAAUAAGGUAGAUUUAUUUAGUUCUUUUAAUUCAUUUAUACAAGUACUUCCCGGUUAUUGAUUUUGGUUUGAUUGUUCAGAUAACAUCAUUGAAAUUAAACAGGAGGUCAAGGUAUACUAACAUUAGAAUCUGUUUUCAUUAUGGGGAACAAUGAAAGGCCCGCAGAGUGGAUUGCAGGUUUUUAUGUUAAAGGGACAGUGCACAUUUAUCACAGUUGUGUGUGUGUCUAAAUGGCUGGGUAUUUAAGAAGUAUUUUGGGGAGACAAUUUGGAGAAACACGAAUAAGACAUGAAUAAUAAGACAUGAAACAUCGAGACAAAUUAUUUAAGUUUGAGGGGAUUAUCAUAAUAAUAAGGGGAUUUCCAUGUUCCCAGAGACAUGAUAUUUUAAAGAGGCACGCUCACAUAUGGAACCUUUAUGAGUUUUUUAUUUUAUGAGUUUUAAUUACACGAGUGAUUUUUAUUUUUUAAGGAUAAAGGGUUCUUUAAUAUGUCUAAUAUGGUAUGGAACACGGAAUGUAGGGGGAUGGUGUAACCUUUGACCUGCUUUCAUGGCUCUCUCGGGUGGUCUGAUCAGCCACAAGGGGGUGCCAUUUGAAUAAUGAAUCUGUGGUCAUGGGUAAUACUGUUUAAAAAAAAAAAUAAUAAUAAAAAAAAAAAAUGUUUUUGAAUUUAAUUUAUUUUUUAAGGUAACUUAAUUAUAGUGGAGUUUAAUUAACCUAUAUAAAGGCUUUAGAAAUUGCCACCAUAGACAUGUUUUUCUAAAAAAAAAAAAAAUUUUUUUUAAAUCCAUGAGUUUAGAUAAAGCGAAACAGUGAGACAUUUAGUUAAAAUGUGGAAACAUGGGAAAAGGCAGACAGAAGAGCCCUCCUCCGCACUGCAGAGACCUUGAAGGUUGGAGAGCAGAGAGGAGAAGUUUUAGAAGGGAGCCAGGACGAGCAAAGAUAACAGAAUGUGUAGAUAACAGUCACUGAGUGGAGACAAAAGGGAGAAUUGGACAUGUGGAAAAUUAAAGGGGCGCUCCUACAUGAUAAUGUCAGAACAGAAGGAUAAUAUACUAAUCUUACCUAAGUCAUUAUUUAGAGUAGGUAAGGUUGUUACCUGGGCAGAGCCAGGUAUCAAAAGGGGGAUAGGUAAAUUGUGGUCUAGGAUAGGAUGGGGCCUAUUGGAUAAGAAACAAUUGUGGUCUAGGAUAGGAUGGGGCUUAUUGGAUAAGAAACUAAUAAUUUAAAAAAAAAUGUAGCUAAACAAAUGGGCAUAGAAGGUAAAGAUAUAAUCAGAUAAAACAUAUGAGAAACUGUUUGUUAACCAAGCCUGUAUGUCCAGCAUUUUAUGCAUUAUAGGUGAACUACAGGUGAAGUCACUCAAUCCAGUCCCAGAGGCUUGUUGGGGGGACCAUACCAAGGUCUCCUGGUGACAGCCAGCUGAAAGAGCUACUCGGAUUCAUAUCGCACGGCGUGAGGGUAAGACACGUUUACACUGUCGAACAAUAAACAGUGUUCGAGAGGAGAACUGGAAUUAACAGAAUUCCGGGGGCCAUCUCUCGAAUGAAGUAACCCUCCCUGUCCUGUCACCCCUGUUUUUGUUCAUAGAAGUGGGGAUGUGUCUGGCUCUUGCUGAGUGAUGUGUUCUCGGGGAAAGGGUGGGGCUUCACAUGGAAGCUGUUUGUCUGAGCUGUCUUAUCGUGGGUGACAUCCCAAAUAACACAGCUCCGGACGAAUCAGUGCCCGAAGCCUCAGCUGGUUUGACCACCCUGGCUCACGGGUUGACAGAAAACUCUGGGGUGGAUACUUCUCUGAUUAAUUGGGUUUGAUAAUAUGUUCAGAAAAUGGGGAAAAUAUUAUGAUCACUGUAUUAUGGGCUACAUUCACCUGUGUGACUGUUUUAGUUUUAUGGAGCUGUUGUCUAAUUCCCUGUGUAUGAGGCCUUAUUUCCAGGACUCUGGAGAAAUCGAUGGAAAUAGAUGGUGAUGUACCAGCGGAUUCCAGGUUCUGACCCGUGGAGUGCUGAAUGUAUGUCUACAGAACAAGUGGACGAAAAUUAUAAAUUAAAUUGUAUUAAAUUGGGAGGGUGUCCGUAUGGGGAUUACAUGAUAACCGACUUGGGACAGUUCUGGGAUUGGAGAAGAGGGUAUCCUUAUAGCAUGGGGGAUCCCACAAAGGUGGAUAGGUUUUCCAUGAUAUGGGGAAAACCUGGGAGCACUGUUGAACUUUGUAAAGGUGAUGAAAUCCUACUAACCAUCAAAACUAUUAAGCUCUCUGAAAGGACUGGGACAGACACGAUGGGUGUGUAUUCUAUUAAGGUGCUGCCAAAACCAGAGGUCCCAGACGAACCAGGGCCAGACACACUCCUCUACCACCCCUGGACCGAACCUGCCACCACUGUGUUAAAAAUCCCAUUCAGGUAAUUAAUGUUAGAGACUAUUCAGCUAUUGAUCAAUUAGGCACUGAGACUGGUUUUGAUGGUAGGGACAAUUUGUGGCUGUCUUAUAUGAGGUAUACAGCUAAGACCCUGAAAAGAAAGGACUGCAUGAGUUACAUGAAACAUUGGUCAUGCUAGACCUGUUCUGGCUACACACCCAUUUUCUAUAGGAGAAGGAGAGGGGUGGUUGUGUAUUCUGAGAGGUUUUUACCAGGUUCAGCCCAAUUCAACUCUCUGUUCCUCUUUGAGCCUUGUGUCUCCUACAGUACCUCCUCAUCGGGCCCCUUGGGGUGUUAAGGCAUAUGGGGGCAAUUACAGUUGCAUCACGGGUACAGGUAAUGGCAUUGAUUAUGAGAGAUUGCCUGAAGCUGAUUGCAGUAGUAACAUAACCAUUAAUUCCACUUGGCCAGUUACAGGCCUAAACCAAACUAGUGGUCUGGCUGAUGUGUGGUGGAUCUGUGGACCCAAAAGAGUGCUGAGACCCAUUCUUAGAGGAGACUGGCAAGGUACGUGUGCUCUGACCAGUUUGAUAAUUCCACUGACCAUUGUUGAUGUUACUGCUGAACAGCUGUUGGGUUCUGUAUCCAGGGGACCUGAAAACAUUCCAUUCCAUGGGAGACAUAGACGUAGUGCUACAUGGACAGAGGAUGUAGUUGACAUACACACUAACCUGUUGGGAGUGCCAGUGGGGGUUCCUCAUGAGUUUCAGGUCUUGGGUAGGAAUGAUGGAUUAUAGGUCCAGCCGUAGUGGAUGCAAGGCAGACUGCAUGGACUCAUUACAUCUACUAUGAUCAACAGCGUUUUGUUAAUUACCCCCGUGAUGCACUCACUGGUAUGUCUGAACAGUUUGAGGCCACAUCUAGGGUUGCCAGACAGAAUAGAUGUUCGGUGAACAAUGUUGCACGUAUAUUCCUAAUAACACCAGUCCAGAUGGUAGUAUAUCUAAGGCCCUUAGUGGGCUUGAUGCACUUGAUGCACUAUCUGCUGAGAUGAGGACCAUGGCGGGGGUGGAGGAGUCUGGCCUGUUCUCUUGGUUGAGAGCCUGUUUUGGUAAGUACACUAGUAUGGUGGUUACUGGAUUUCUGACCCUAAUUCUUGUAUUUUUGUUAUUGAUGUGUUGUGCUGCUUGCAUCAUACCGUGUUUUAAGAAGUCUGUUACAGAUGUGGUGAAGGCUUCAGGCAUGAUGAUGCCUUUGCUUGAUGCUCCAGUUGGAGAUGCUGAUACUGAAGCAUGCUUUCAGGGGAGGAUGAGACUGACUGAGGAUGACCCAUGGUAUGCUGUGGGUGAGGUAGUAGAAUAAAUCUUACACCACCACAGUUCCUUGUUAUACAUUUUUUAUGAUAGGUUUUCUUUCCAGUAUGUUUGUUCUCCCUGUUGUGAAGGUUUCGAGUCCCUGGGUGGCAUGAAGCCCAACUGGUGCAGGAUAGGAGUAGCUGAGAGGACCAGAUGGUUUAUAAUAAUGCUUUGCUCUGCUUUACUCUGUUUUCCAUGACCAAAGUUUUAUCCUGUAUCUUACAUAUCAAUAAACAAUAAAGUGUUAUCCUGCUUUUGCUGAGUGACACCCUAGCGGGUGUCAAAAGGGGGACUUAAAUUUCACACCAUUUUCUCUUACCACUAGGGUUAUCUCUAGAGCUAUUGACCCUUCCUCCCCUUCCCAGAUGUUUCCUCUGCUUGACAAUGACCUGCCAGAAUUUGAGGAUGAGGUUGAGAGUGCCUACUAGGUUUUGUCACAUCUCUUUGGAGAUGUGAAGAGAGGGAAUCACAACUUUUUCCCGGUUGGUAAAAAGUUGCCUUGUGUGUUUUAUAUGCCUAUUUUGCAGCAGAGUGUUGGGGUUCUCCCUAAUAAGGGUUUUAAGUUCCUAGGUGGCUGGUAGCCAACUUAGUACAAGGUAUGUGGAGAACUGGGUGGUUUUACUUACUUUUCUCAAAUGUAUUAUACUAUGCUUAUUAUGCUGUGGUUUGUCACACCUCUUCGGAGGUGUGAAGAGAGGGAUUUGUAGAAGAUAAAUAGAACGCAGUUUAGUUUUACCUUAUUUGCCCUAUUACCACAAGCUGAGCUGCUAUAACACAUUACACCCUCCUUCACACAUACUCAAGGUCAACACACACAGACACUGGAACAUCCUGUUCUCUACAUAACAGCGAGCGGCCUAACCACAAAGCGCCAUUGAGGGGUUGCUGAGUCUGAUACACUAUCUCGUGACAAACACCAGCUGCAGAGGCACCCCAACCCUGAGAAAGAGGAACACACACGCACACACCUAAUCUCCUUUUUAGCUGAACAUUGUGUGACCAAGGACAGGUACGACGAGACUCUAUGAUGACAGAUGGUCCAACUGAGCCAAUACAAGAAGACUACACUCCAGCCUGAACCAAUCCGAAGACCCGAUCUUCUAGAAUCAACCUACUUUCUGUUCUGUAUAUAAUACAUGUGCACACUGUUAGCGGGGCUUCUUUCUGGAGGUUCCUUAUGAGCUGAAUGAACGGGCCCGUAUACGCUGUACCAGAUAUCUUCACUCUGAAUAAACUGUCGCUUGUCAUACAAUCUACCGCUUUGUCCGAAUCGAUCCUUGACCGGCUCACUCACCUGCACAUCCCAGUUAUCAACA